AUUGAACGCUGGCGGCAUGCCUUACACAUGCAAGUCGAACGGUAACAGGUCUUCGGAUGCUGACGAGUGGCGAACGGGUGAGUAAUACAUCGGAACGCGCCCAGACGUGGGGGAUAACGAGGCGAAAGCUUUGCUAAUACCGCAUACGAUCUAAGGAUGAAAGCAGGGGACCGCAAGGCCUUGCGCGUUUGGAGCGGCCGAUGGCAGAUUAGGUAGUUGGUGGGAUAAAAGCUUACCAAGCCGACGAUCUGUAGCUGGUCUGAGAGGACGACCAGCCACACUGGGACUGAGACACGGCCCAGACUCCUACGGGAGGCAGCAGUGGGGAAUUUUGGACAAUGGGCGAAAGCCUGAUCCAGCAAUGCCGCGUGCAGGAUGAAGGCCUUCGGGUUGUAAACUGCUUUUGUACGGAACGAAAAGGCUCUGGCUAAUACCUGGGGCACAUGACGGUACCGUAAGAAUAAGCACCGGCUAACUACGUG
rnacentral:rRNA from 1 species